AUGACUUGUGGAUAGCGGAGAAAUUCCAAUCGAACUCGGAGAUAGCUGGUUCUCCCCGAAAUAGCUUUAGGGCUAGCCUCAUGUUAGAUAUCCGGAGGUAAAGCACUGAAUGGCCUAGCGUCCGAGAGGAUAGCGAAGCCUAUCAAACUAAGAAUGCCGGAAUAUUGAUGCAUGGGAGUCAGACAGUGUGAGAUAAAUCUCAUUGUCAAAAGGGAAACAGCCCAGAUCUACAGCUAAGGUCCCAAAUUGUAUCUAAGUGGAAAACGAUGUGGAAAUACGCAGACAACCAGGAUGUUGGCUCAGAAGCAGCCACUCAUUUAAAGAGUGCGUAAUAGCUCACUGGUCGAGCGUCUCUGCGCGGAAAAUUUAACGGGGCUAAGAUACAAACCGAAGCUUAGGCUGCACUUUAAGUGCGGGGUAGGGGAGCGUUGUGUAAGCGGAGAAACAGUAGCGAAAGCGGCUGUGGAGUUUACAGAAGUGAGAAUGCCGGAAUGAGUAGCGCGAAUGUGGUGAGAAUCCACAUGGCCGGAAACCUCAGGUUUUUGGAGGAAGGUUCGUCCGCUCCAAGUUAGGCGGGAGCUAAGGUCAGGCCGAAAGGCGUAGCCGAUGCACAGACGGUAGAGAUUCCGUCCCCACCGAAAGAUUUAAGCACAGGGACACUUUUUGAAGGUCGGAGCCAGGUGUUGGUUCUGGUAGUGAUCGAGGGAAAUAUAGUACCGAAGUCCGGCUGGAUAAGAGGCGAGAAAAGCUGUGUGUAUAUCUAAGGUGCCCGUACCGCAAACCGACACAGGUAGGUAGGAAGAAGAUUCUAAGGCCAACGGGAGAAGGGUUGUUAAGGAACUCGGCAAAUUGACCCCGUAACUUCGGGAGAAGGGGUGCUCCAGAGAUGGAGCCGCAGAGAAUCGGCCCAAGCAACUGUUUACCAAAAACACAGGUUUGUGCUAAAUCGAAAGAUGACGUAUACGAGCUGACGCCUGCCCGGUGCUGGAAGGUUAAGAGGAGAUGUGCAAGCAUUGAAUCGAAGCCCCAGUGAACGGCGGCCGUAACUAUAACGGUCCUAAGGUAGCGAAAUUCCUUGUCAGGUAAGUUCUGACCCGCAUGAAAGGCGUAAUGAUUUGGGCACUGUCUCAACAGCCCGCCCGGCGAAAUUGUAGUACCGGUGAAGAUGCCGGUUACCCGCGACAAGACGGAAAGACCCCAUGGAGCUUUACUGUAGCCUAAUAUUGGGUUUCGAUGUUGCAUGCACAGGAUAGAUGGGACACUGGGAAACAAGUGCUUUGGCAUUUGUGGAGUGGCCGUUGGGAUACCAUCCUUGCGAUAUUGGAAUUCUAACCUGCGCCUUUGAAUCAAGGCGGGGGACAUUGUUAGGUGGGCAGUUUGACUGGGGCGGUCGCCUCCUAAAGAGUAACGGAGGCGUUCAAAGGUUCGCUCAGCUUGAACGGAAAUCAAGCAAAAGAGUGCAAACGCAGAAGCGAGCCUAACUGCGAGACUGACGGGUCGAGCAGUAACGAAAGUUGGAGUUAGUGAUCCGGUGGUAUGUGAGUGGAAAUGCCAUCGCUCAACGGAUAAAAGUUACCCUGGGGAUAACAGGCUGAUCUCCCCCAAGAGUCCACAUCGACGGGGAGGUUUGGCACCUCGAUGUCGGCUCAUCGCAUCCUGGGGCUGUAUUCGGUCCCAAGGGUUUGGCUGUUCGCCAAUUAAAGCGGUACGCGAGCUGGGUUCAGAACGUCGUGAGACAGUUCGGUCCCUAUCUGUCGUGGGCGCAGGAUAUUUGAUGGGAGCUGUUCCUAGUACGAGAGGACCGGAGCGGACGUACCUCUGGCGCACCAGUUGUUCUGCCAAGGGCAUAGCUGGGCAACUAUGUACGGAUCGGAUAAACGCUGAAAGCAUCUAAGCGUGAAGCCGACCCAAAGAUAAGAUAUCCCAUUGUUUCAAACAAGUAAGACCCCUUGAAGACUACAAGGUUGAUAGGCACGAUGUGUAAGUGGAGCGAUCCAUUCAGCAAGCGUGUACUAAUAGGUCGAGGGCUUGACCAC
rnacentral:rRNA from 1 species